rnacentral:rRNA from 1 species
CCUACGGGUGGCAGCAGUAGGGAAUAUUGCUCAAUGGGGGAAACCCUGAAGCAGCAAAGCCGCGUGGAGGAUGAAGGUUUUCGGAUUGUUAAAUCCUUUUGUUAGAGAAGAUAAUGACGGUAUCUAACGAAUAAGCACCGGCUAACUCCGUGCCAGCUGCCGCGGUAAUACGGAGGGUGCAAGCGUUACUCGGAAUCACUGGGCGUAAAGGGCGCGUAGGCGGGAUAGCAAGUCAGAUGUGAAAUCCUAUGGCUUAACCAUAGAACUGCAUUUGAAACUGUUAUUCUAGAGUAGGGGAGAGGUAUGUGGAAUGCUUGGUGUAGGGGUAAAAUCCAUAGAGAUCAAGAAGAAUACUCAUUGCGAAGGCGACCUGCUAGAACAUAACUGACGCUGAUGCGCGAAAGCGUGGGGAUCAAACAGGAUUAGAUACCCGGGUAGUC